CUUCUCCUCUUCCUCCUUCUGCUCCUCCUUUCCCUUGGGGCUCGAACCCACGCCUUUAGAACACUGGAUAUUUUUACAGGUGGAUGCCAAGCACGUCCAGGUGUUUUUGGGAGUCUGAGGGCAGGUUCAGCCCCUCCUGGAGAUCCCUCAGCGCUGUCACCAGCUGGCCCUUUGGUGCUGACUGCAGCAAAAAGCACCGCGGGCUGGGGCUGCUUUCCUUGGCUCUCGCUUCGGGAUGACGGAGGAGCUUGAACCAAAGCCCACUGAAGAAGAUGCUGGCAUUCCUUGAAUUCCCAGGCAUUCCAGGGUCCUCCAUGAGCUCCUCACAGCCUGUACUGUCUGCCUGGGGGAUAAACCCUCUGAAUCUUCCCAUGCUUUGCUCCCGCUCUGUGGUAGAGCAUCCUGCAUCCCUCAAAGAUUGUUGCAUCCCAGGAGUUGUAGGAGAGGUGGUUAGUGGGAUUCCCUGGAAUUCCUUGAACCCCUGUUUAAGGAAGGUUCUUUAUGAGUUUAUAUACCCCAGUUUUAAUUACAUCAUCCGAGUUAUGUCACCCUUUUGUCCCGCCCCUGAGUGAUGUCAUCCCUGUUCUCCACUCCAGUUCGAGAAUGUUCCCUGGUCCUCUCUUCCCCAUUGGUUCCCUGUCACUCUGCCCCUGGGCCCUGGUUGGUUGUUACCCUUUGGCCCCGCCUUUGUACCGCCCCUUUGCCCUCAACCUAUUGGCCCCUGGUGCUGGUGCUCCGCCCAUCCCUGGUUAUAGAAAGCCCUGGAGCCUCCCUUGGUCUUGGUUCUUUGUCCCUGGUUCCCUUCUGGUGAGAAUAUCGGGGAAUUCACUGGGAAUUCUACACAAAGACAGAUCCUGAUCUGGAUCCAAACCUGCCAAACAUCAGGGGUGGCUUUGUCAUAAUGGCCUUGGAGGUGCCCAGGUGACAGCUGGGGACAGUCCGAGGUUCAGGUGACAUCAGGUGACGUGCAGAGGUCACAGAGCCGGCACGUGCUGGGCAGUCCUUGUGUCUGAGGUUGUUGCUGGGCAGCAUCCUCAACCUCCUCACUCCUUGUGCUUGAUGUCCCACGCACAGAGCGACCCCUCUGAGUCCAGGACCAGCGUUCCAGGGGAUUUGGAUCCUCUUUCCAGGGCAAUUUGGAUCCUCUUUCCAGGUUUGGAAUGCCCAUCCCCAGAGGUGUCCAAGGAAUUCCUGGAGGUGGCCCUCAGAGCUCUGGGCUCAGGACAAGCUGGGAAUGCCAGUGCAGGGAGCACCUGGAGCUGAUUUUAUGGAAUUGGAUGGGAGCUGGCCUGAAGGACUCAAAAACCAUUUGCAGCAGGUUGGAAAGGCACUGGCAGUGAUUCUGUCCCCAUUUUUCCUCCAUCAAGCAGGGAAAUUGCUUCCCUGCUCAGCAUCAGUGACAAAGCACCGAUGUCCUCAUGUCCCUGCAGUCUGAAUUAUGGAAGUGACAGGAAUGUGAAAUUAUUCUGGGCCAAGGCUUUGCCCACAGGCAAAGUGGGGCCAAGCAAGAUUAUUUCCAGCUUCUGGCAUGAUUUGGAAUCACUUCUUGAGCACCAAAGCAAAAUAUGACUCUUUAGUAGAUGA